UUACGGCCAUAUCCCGUUGAAACAUCGGUUCCCAUACAAUCACUGAAGUUAGGCAACGUCGAGCCUAGUCAGUACCUAAGUGGCUGAGCGCUUGAGAAUACCAGGUGCUC